rnacentral:rRNA from 1 species
GAUGAACGCUGGCGGCGUGCCUAAUACAUGCAAGUCGAGCGAACGGACGAGAAGCUUGCUUCUCUGAUGUUAACGGCGGACGGGUGAGUAACACGUGGAUAACCUACCUAUAAGACUGGGAUAACUUCGGGAAACCGGAGCUAAUACCGGAUAAUAUUUUGAACCGCAUGGUUCAAAGGUAAAAGACGGUCUUGCUGUCACUUAUAGAUGGAUCCGCGCUGCAUUAGCUAGUUGGUAAGGUAACGGCUUACCAAGGCAACGAUGCAUAGCCGACCUGAGAGGGUGAUCGGCCACACUGGAACUGAGACACGGUCCAGACUCCUACGGGAGGCAGCAGUAGGGAAUCUUCCGCAAUGGGCGAAAGCCUGACGGAGCAACGCCGCGUGAGUGAUGAAGGUCUUCGGAUCGUAAAACUCUGUUAUUAGGGAAGAACAUAUGUGUAAGUAACUGUGCACAUCUUGACGGUACCUAAUCAGAAAGCCACGGCUAACUACGUG